GACGAACGCUGGCGGCGUGCCUAAUACAUGCAAGUAGGACGAGUUGCGAUCGGGUGAGUAACGCGUGGUAACCUACCUAUUAGAGGGGGAUAACUAUUGGAAACGAUAGCUAAUACCGCCUACUAGUAGAUGGAUCUGCGUUGUAUUAGCUAGUAGGUAGGGUAAUGGCCUACCUAGGCAACGAUACAUAGCCGACCUGGGAGGGUGAUCGGCCAGACUGGGACUGAGACACGGUCCAGACUCCUACGGGAGGCAGCAGUGGGGAAUAUUGCACAAUGGGCGCAAGCCUGAUGCAGCCAUGCCGCGUGUAUGAAGAAGGCCUUCGGGUUGUAAAGUACUUUAAGCGGGGAGGCGUUACACGCAGAAGAAGCACCGGCUAACUCCGUGCCAGCAGCCGCGGUAAUAC
rnacentral:rRNA from 1 species